AACCUAGUUGGGUUACCUUGUCUUUUGUGGAGGUUUUGUUCCUUUGCUCUUUGCAAUAAAUUUUGCUGCUGCUAAGUAGUUGGGUCCGUGGUGCUUUAAAGAGCUGUAACACUCACUGCGGAGGUCUGCAGUUUCACUCCUGAAGCUAGUGAGACCAGGAGCCUGCCAGAAGGAAAAAACUCUGGACAUGUUCAAACAUCGGAAGGAACAAAUUCCAGACACACUAUCUUUAAGAACUGUAACACUCAACCGUGAGGGUCCGCGGAUUCAUUCUUGAAGUCAGUGAGACCAAGAACCCACCAAUUCCGGACACACCUGGAAUUCUUUGGAAGGCUGAAGCAAGAGGAUCAUUUGAGGCCAGGAGUUUGAGAAAUUCUAUGUGAUAUAAAGCAGAUGCAUAAAAUUUGCCCACAUCUGCAACUUACUUAUAAAAUGUUUUUUUCAAGAGACUGGAACUUCUAGUGCAUAAAUACAGUUUGGGUUUAAAAACCCAGAAUCCUGAAAAAAAUGGCUCUACUUAAAAAACGACUGUUUUUGGUAGUUGAACAGUAAUUUAAAGGGCUCUUCAGUGACGUUAGAAAUCAUUAAAUCCAAUUCUUUCCUUUUAAAUGUAAGGAAGCUGUUGAAGAAAAGUCCCAUGCUGUGUUUUAUGUUUUGAAGCCGAGGCCAAAUGUGGAGAUGGCAUAACCAGAAGAGGGAACGAACUGGCCUGGAUGUGACUCAUGCUUGGAAGGGAGCUGU
rnacentral:lncRNA from 1 species